rnacentral:rRNA from 1 species
UACUUCUUCUUUUGGAAAUUCGAGUUCACUCCCAACCCCAAUGUGAACGUUACCAAUCUGUUGCCUCGGCGGGAUUCUCUUGCCCCGGGCGCGUCGCAGCCCCGGAUCCCAUGGCGCCCGCCGGAGGACCAACUCCAAACUCUUUUUUCUCUCCGUCGCGGCUCCCGUCGCGGCUCUGUUUUAUUUUUGCUCUGAGCCUUUCUCGGCGACCCUAGCGGGCGUCUCGAAAAUGAAUCAAAACUUUCAACAACGGAUCUCUUGGUUCUGGCAUCGAUGAAGAACGCAGCGAAAUGCGAUAAGUAAUGUGAAUUGCAGAAUUCAGUGAAUCAUCGAAUCUUUGAACGCACAUUGCGCCCGCCAGUAUUCUGGCGGGCAUGCCUGUCCGAGCGUCAUUUCAACCCUCGAACCCCUCCGGGGGGUCGGCGUUGGGGAUCGGCCCCUCACCGGGCCGCCCCCGAAAUACAGUGGCGGUCUCGCCGCAGCCUCUCCUGCGCAGUAGUUUGCACACUCGCACCGGGAGCGCGGCGCGGCCACAGCCGUAAAACACCCCAAACUUCUGAAAUGUUGACCUCGGAUCAGGUAGGAAUACCCGCUGAACUUAAGCAUAUCAAUAAGGCGGAGGAA